CACAACCUCCUAGAGUGAGUG
rnacentral:miRNA from 1 species